ensembl:lncRNA
CAGUGCCAGAUCUCAGUUUUGCAUAUUAUUUUUCAGGGCAGGUCUGUACUGUGUGUAGUGCUGUUUACAUGGUUGAAUUUAGGUUGUAAUAAUUAUUUUAAAAGAUUUACACAGAUAUGAAUAUAGCAGUGUUAACUGUUAGCCACAUUGCAUUAAUUUCCAGACAGUUUGGAGCUCUUGGAGAGCCAAGGCCAAGGCCCGUCAGGAGCAUUUGCAGUCUUGACACCCCACCCCAUCCCUUUACGCUAAUUUAUCCAAAGCCCUAUCUCCCUCACUUCCUGCUCAUUCCUUCUCUAACCUAUAUUGCAUUUCAUGUUUAACUUAUCCAUCAACAUGCUGUACCUGUCAGUCAAGUGAGCAGUUUUGUUUUGUUCGAACACAUUGUACUGAAAACCACUUAAGCAUUGAAUGCAGAGAAAGCAGUGCUACCUCAGUUUUGCUGGAAGUAGACUUCUUUGAUAUUUUCUUUGAUGUUUUUGUAUUUUCAUGUCAUAAGUGGAAAUACUUCUUUUUCCCCCUUUUCAUUUGCCUUGGAGCCAAAGUUUCCGUUGUUGUGGGUGGUGAGAAAAGUGUGCCUGCCUGCCUGCCUGCCAGCUGACCGGACAGAAAGCUGUGGCAUGGGGCUCUGCUCCAGACUGCUUUUCUUUAGUUUUUGUUGAGUAUCACUAGCUUACUUGUCUGGCAAGUGCAGAAGCCUGAGGCUGGCCUGAACUCUGCCAAACAAAUUAUCCACGUGUAUUGAAUCAUUAAAUGUGUGCCCUCUCCCUCUUUGCUGCGCCCAUGUUGUCACUUAACCCCAGGAGUUAUUUAUUGUCUUUUGUUAGUGUCAGGCUCACCUGGGGUGACGUGAUGGCUGUUUAGGUUUACACGGCCCUCUGCUCUUUCCCUACUCCCAGACAUGUAUAUAUACAUAUAUAAGAUAUGUAUAUAUUUUACCUUAUAAAAUAUAUAUAUACACAUAUAUGUAUCUAUAUCCCUGCGUUUGUCUGCUAAAACUGGCCAUGAAAGAGGGAGCUGCCUUCAAUCUGUAGUUUAAGAAGAUGCCAGGGAGCAUCAUAAAUGGAGGCUGUUGUAUAUUAAUUUAGAUUUUUUUCACUAAAAAGAACAUGAAUGAAUUUGCUCGCAGGAAGGAGGAACCAGUUCUCUAGACCCCAUGCUCACUCUACAAGACCAGCUUUGGUCAAGCUGCCCCUGGGGCCUGAAGAGCUGACUAUCUCCUGCCUGUUCCAUUAGAGGACCAUCUUGAUAAUUUCCCCUUAAAAAUAUCCUCAAAAAUGUACUGGAAGGUGGGUGGCAGGAGCUUGUACAGUUCAGCUUCCAACAUUUCGGAACAGAUUUAAAAGGGAAUCUUUUAAUAAAUAAAAGC